AUCUUCCUCUGUUACACGACAAACACAACUGCUUAAGAAAAUCAUUCCUAAUUUCACUCCCACUAACAGCUCCACGUUCAUGGUGGUUUAAAACAAAUCUCAUCUUCUAUAUAAAUCCUCUUGAACUUUCUCUAAACAAAAAAAAAACACCACAAAACUUUUUUUAUUUUCGAUUACCAAUUCACCACCAGAUCACAUAUCCUCAGUUCGUUCAACCACGAAAACCUCUUUCAAAUUCACAAAUCCAAAGCCCUUUAAAAACUAUAAUUCUCUUAGAGUUUCAGGUUGAAGAUGCCUCUGCAUUAUAUUCCUCUCUCAAAUCUAAAUUCUUUGAAAAAAGAAUGGAAGAUCACAGCUCUAAUAAUAAAGGACAUGGAAUUUUUAUCUAAAAGAUAAACCUGGUUAUUCUCGGUAUUGAAGCAAUUCUUGUGGAUGCAAAGGGGAUCAAAUUCAAACAUCUGUGAAAAACAAAUUAGUUCGAAAAUUCCAAAAAAGAAUUGGUGGAAGGAAGGUGUUGUGAUAUCAUGAAUUUUGAAGUGUGAGAUAACUUUGGUGACUACAAGGGGACCAUACAAGGGGGUUAAUUUCAUGUAUACGACAUGUGUGAAGCUGGCUGAUCAGAUCCCAAGUAUAUCUCGCUUCAACUUAUGUCCUUUUUCAGAGAUUUUAAGUCAACCAAAUGUGGAUGACAUAUUCAUUGAGUAGUUUCAUUAUCGGAAUUCGAGUCACAAACUUAAGGGCCUGAGCUUUUGUAUGCUCCACGGGAUUUAUUCAUCUCAUUGUAGCCGAACUCCUGAUUUUGAACCGCGCCUUGCAGACACCGAGUUUUAUCGGGGCGAAUCAAAAGGAUUGAUAUGAUCUACUUGACGAGCGGCUUCCAAAGACGACGAGUCUGGGAUUGGGAUGAUGAUUAACUUCCACACUUCUCCGCCUCUUCUUCGUUGUGGCUUCUGCAUUGAGGACACAAAGAAGAUCACUCAACAAUAAUAAUUGUUAAACAAUAAUUGAAGACGAGCCCUGUUAAACAAAUGAAUCACAAAAGCUACACCAUAGUCAACACGUCUCUUCAAGUAUCAGGACGGUGCAUGUGCAAAGAUGAAGGAGCAAUUCAUCACUCCAAAUAGGUUUGAGAUUCUCCAUUCUCAAGGCAGUCACUCAACAUUUAUAAUAAGCAUCGUUUGAAAUCAGUAAUAUUAAAAUUUCAUAUUGUUUUACUUGGUGUAUAAAACCCUUUUGAGUGAAUGUAAUACGUAUUA